CAGAGCUCACAUCAGUUGAGCUCCAACAUCAACAUGUUCUCUGCAGCUCUGAUUCUGCUGCUGGCUGCUGGAUCCUGUGUGAACAGUAUUGAUCUCAUCCAGCCAGACUCAAUGCUUGUGCAGCCUGGACAGACUCUGACCAUCACCUGUCUACUGUCUGGUUAUUCUGUGACUGAUAGCAGCUAUGGAACAGGUUGGAUCAGACAGCGUGAAGGAAAACCAAUGGACUGGAUUUUCCAUAUGUGGGGUAGUGGUACACUUCGGCAAAAUGAUGCCCUGAAGAACAAGUUCAGUUACAGCAGAGACUCUUCUGCAGAAACAGUGACAAUAACAGGACAGAACCUGCAGCCUGAAGACUCUGCUGUGUAUUACUGUGCCAGAGACACACAGUGACACAAAUGAUCAGUAGACCUGAACAAAAACCCCUCAGAGCCUGAACACUGUAACAUGAAGCCACCAGAGGAGGAGCCCUCAGACCAGGAAUGGAUUCAGACCAGUUCACUGUUAAAGAAAGUAGCAGCUUAUUUAUCAAUGAAAGUGUAAAACAAGAAAGAACAAGACAAUUAGAGAGCAGGAUUUUCACUACUUU